rnacentral:rRNA from 1 species
GACGAACGCUGGCGGCGUGCUUAACACAUGCAAGUCGAACGGUGAAGGGGUCUGCUUUUGUGGGCCCUGGAUGAGUGGCGAACGGGUGAGUAACACGUGAGUAACCUGCCCCCUUCUUCUGGAUAACCGCAUGAAAGUGUGGCUAAUACGGGAUAUUCUGGGUCUGUCGCAUGAUGGGUCUGGCAAAGAUUGCGCCUUUGGGUGUUUUUGGUGGGGGAUGGGCUCGCGGCCUAUCAGCUUGUUGGUGGGGUGAUGGCCUACCAAGGCGGUGACGGGUAGCCGGCCUGAGAGGGUGGACGGUCACACUGGGACUGAGACACGGCCCAGACUCCUACGGGAGGCAGCAGUGGGGAAUAUUGCACAAUGGGCGCAAGCCUGAUGCAGCGACGCCGCGUGAGGGAUGGAGGCCUUCGGGUUGUAAACCUCUUUCGCCAGUGAAGCAGGCCUGCUCCUUGUGGGUGGGUUGACGGUAGCUGGAUAAGAAGCGCCGGCUAACUACGUG